rnacentral:tRNA from 1 species
GGAGAGAUGCCAGAGUGGCUUAAUGGGGCGGUCUCGAAAAUCGCUGUCCGCCAAUCGGUGGACCGUGGGUUCGAAUCCCACUCUCUCCG